rfam:Danio rerio chromosome 5, GRCz11 reference primary assembly.
AUCCAUAGCCAUAUCACCAUGCAGCCCAAGACCAGUUACUUACUGAAGCGAAGCAGGGUUAAGCCUGGUCAGUAUCUGGAUGGGAGACCACAUGAGAAAACUAGGUUGUUGUUGGAA